rnacentral:miRNA from 1 species
UGUGUAUGUGUGUGUAUUUGUGUGUACAGGUACAUAUAUAUCUAUCAAUUGAUAUUACACUACUAAUUCAUUUGAAAAGAAACAGAAUCACAUGUGAACUGACAAUGAGGCUGUCUUAAAUUC